rnacentral:sRNA from 1 species
ACUCAAAUUAAUUCAAUCAUAGGUUGACGAAGACUCUGGCCUCGAGUCUAAUUGUUUUUUUAAAAAAUG